UUAUCUCCCAUUCCUAGAACCCAAGUCCAAACAUGUUGAAGCAGAAGCUCCUUUGGCUGCCGUUCGCCGCGCUUCUCCGUCGAAGCGUUCCCGGCGCCGCUCAUCUUUCAGCCGACUAUGCUCCGAAGACGUGGCUUUCCUCUGAUUUCUCUUCUCCGCAUCCCUCAGCAAGCGAUGAGGAAGCUGAUUGGGCUUCGCUAAGCCCGAUCCCUCAUUUUGGAGAACUCGGUUUUUUGGGGAGAAGUUUCUGCUCUGGUUCCUCCAAGAGAGUGAUCGAACGGUGCUGGAACUGUAACUCUGCGGUUGGAACGACGGUGCCGUUUCUGGUAUGUGAUGCGUGCAGAAGCGUUCAGCCUGUCAACCCCUCGGUGGAUUACUUCCAGAUAUUCGGACUGGAGAAUAAGUUUGAAAUUGAGGACAAAAAUCUCGAGGAAAGGUACAAAGACUGGCAGAAAAAAGUGCAUCCAGAUCUGGUUCAUUCUAAAUCUAAGAAAGAAAAAGAAUAUGCUGCUGAACAGUCUGCUCGGGUAAUUGAUGCAUACCGCACCCUAUCAAACCCAUUAUCUAGGGUGUUAUACAUUCUAAAGCUUGAAGGUGUAGAAGUGGAUGAAGAAAAAACCAUUUCAGAGCCAGAAUUGCUAGCUGAGAUUAUGGAAAUUAGAGAAUCUGUUGAAGAAGCUGCUGACACUCAGGCAUUAGUUCAUAUUCAGUCACAGAUGCAAGAGAAUAUGAAACAUUGGUACAAAUCUUUUGCGAAUGCAUUUCAAAACCAGAAAUACGAUGAAGCUCGGAUGUGCAUCCAGAGAAUGACUUACUACCAGCGUGUAAAUGAAGAAAUCAUCAAGAAGUUAUGAUACUGGUGUAGCUUUGAUCUAUGUGGUGGACCUUCGGGACACAAAUGGGUCAUCUUCUGAAUCAUGGCUCAUUCUAGUUGGUCAAAAGUUCUUAGUCAUAGUUGCAGUUGGUUUCAGGUUCUAUAUGUUCCAUCUCUUCAACUUAAUCCACCAAUGAUGUUGGACUGGAUGUUACUUCUUGCUUGGAGAUUCAUGAACAGACCCCAUCAUAGUGAUACUUAGGUAUGUAAAGUGCUUCUUCAGCAAGGAUAAUAGUAUUUUGGUUCUGACAGACAUCUUAGAUUUGGCUCUCUUGUCAGAUCUAUUUCGUGGUUGAUUCCAGAAUAAGCCAGAUUUUCAGAACGAAACCCUAUCUGGAAGGCAGAUUAGUCACUGAUUUCUGAAAGCAUAUCAUCGAACAUAGACUUACAGUGUUCCUCAGCAGCUUGAUGUUACAACAGUUGGUAUUGGUUCUUACUUUCUUGGCAUCUCAAUGGUGUAAAAGAUGAUACUGCUCAGUCAGAUUACUUGUGUAUUACACUGGCAACAUCAGAAACUGAUCAUUUUGUUGCUAACGGUAAUAUAUGACUAUAUAUACCGCUAUUGAUGCUAUAGGCAGAAAUUACAAACUUUCUGAACGACUAGAAA